GAAUUCAUCAGCAAAUAACGUUACUAAUGCUGCAAAUGAGUGGGGCUGGGUGGGGUUGGGCUGGCUCUCACCCUGCCCUCCAGAUGCAAUGAGUGUGGGGACACUGGUGACUUCUACAAAGGCUCAUUGAAAAGGUCCAGUCCAGCAGCGGCUUGGUCUAAGUCCCUCCUGCAGACUUUGCUCCUGCUGGCCCACAUCUGCGACUUUCUUCUGAAGACUCCAAGAGGGCUACUGGAGACACCAAAAGAAGAGCCGCCACACAGAGACCCAAGU
rnacentral:lncRNA from 1 species